rnacentral:rRNA from 1 species
GACGAACCGUGCGAACGUUAUUCGGAAUCACUGGGCUUAAAGCGCGUGUAGGCGGGCGGGCGCGUCGGCCGCUGAAAUCCCCCGGCUCAACCGGGGAAGGGGCACCGAGACGGCCGGCCUGGAGGGACGUAGGGGGGGCUGGAACUUCCGGUGGAGCGGUGAAAUGCAUUGAGAUCGGAAAGAACACCAACGGCGAAAGCACUCUGCUGGGCCGACACUGACACUGAGAGACGAAAGCUAGGGGAGCAAAUGGG